rnacentral:lncRNA from 1 species
CAAAUAUGCACACACGGAGGGCGUUUCUACCUUGGCCUGCAGCAACACAGAAGCUUCAGAGCAGUAGUGCAUAGUGUAUGGAUACUACCCGCCCCCGAGCCUAGCAAAUUGCCUGGUGAGCGGCCAUCCUGGAUAAAUGGUGAAUGAUGACAUCCCAGUGGUCACUUCCACACACCACAGGUUUGACCCCUAAGUAUGUCUUCCAUAUGGGUUGUUUCAUAUGCGGUUAACACCCUGAUCAAUGCAGCUUUCCUGAUGGAAUCCAGCUGUGUUUUGGUGUCAACUCCCAUGAAAAAUUGGGUGUCUUAUUGCAUAACCAACACUGUUAAAUGGAGGAAGGUCAUAGGAAGAGGGAGCAUGUGUUUGUGGGAUAGGGAGUCCUCUUUAAGUGAGAAGCUUGGGAGGUUAGGAGUGGAAGGUUGUAGCUAGUUGAGGUGAAGAGUUUACAUGUUC